CCUACGGGUGGCAGCAGUGAGGAAUAUUGGUCAAUGGACGAGAGUCUGAACCAGCCAAGUAGCGUGAAGGAUGACUGCCCUAUGGGUUGUAAACUUCUUUUAUAUGGGAAUAAAAUGUUCCACGUGUGGGAUUUUGUAUGUACCAUUUGAAUAAGGAUCGGCUAACUCCGUGCCAGCAGCCGCGGUAAUACGGAGGGUCCGAGCGUUAUCCGGAUUUAUUGGGGUUAAAGGGAGGGGAGGUGGAUUGUUAAGUCAGUUGUGAAAGUUUGCGGCUCAACCGUAAAAUUGCAGUUGAAACUGGCAGUCUUGAGUACAGUAGAGGUGGGUGGAAUUCGUGGUGUAGCGGUGAAAUGCUUAGAUAUCACGAAGAACUCCGAUUGCGAAGGCAGUUCACUGGACUGCAACUGACACUGAGGCUCGAAAGUGUGGGUAUCAAACAGGAUUAGAUACCCCUGUAGUC
rnacentral:rRNA from 1 species